rnacentral:rRNA from 1 species
UACGUAGGGUGCGAGCGUUGUCCGGAAUUAUUGGGCGUAAAGAGCUCGUAGGCGGUGUGUCGCGUCGGCCGUGAAAACCUGGGGCUCAACUCUGGGCGUGCGGUCGAUACGGGCAUCACUGGAGUUCGGCAGGGGAGACUGGAAUUCCUGGUGUAGCGGUGAAAUGCGCAGAUAUCAGGAGGAACACCUGCGGCGAAGGCGGGUAGCUGGGCCGACACUGACGCUGAGGCGCGAAAGCCAGGGGAGCGAACGGG